GGGUUCCAGGCAGGAUUUGUCCCUCGGGGGAGCCAUUACGGCCCGCCCUAGCCCGAGUGGAUUUGGCCCAAUUCCUUCCUCUGGGAAUUAGGUCGCCUCCCCCACUGCUCGAACCCUUGACCUCCCACUUUAAGGGAAUAGUCUGGCGAGAGUGAGUACCAAUUGUCCCAGAGGCGACCUAAUUCCCAGAGGAAGGAAUUGGGCCAAAUCCACUCGGGCUAGGGCGGGCCGUAAUGGCUCCCCCGAGGGACAAAUCCUGCCUGGAACCCGUGAGGGUGAAGGGAUGUUAAGAGCUGUUCAUACGCCAGUGGAAAGCCCGAGGUGGCAAGAGGCCAGGCGAGGGAUAGCCCUGGGUGUGAACGGUAACAGGGCCGGUCGAAAGGGGCCGGGCUGUUACA
rnacentral:lncRNA from 1 species